CCGGGCGUAGCGCAGUUGGUAGCGCGCCUGCUUUGGGAGCAAGAUGGUGCCAGUUCUGUCGCUCGGA
rnacentral:tRNA from 1 species